rnacentral:rRNA from 1 species
CCCUACGGGGGGCAGCAGUGGGGAAUAUUGCACAAUGGGGGAAACCCUGAUGCAGCGACGCCGCGUGAGCGAAGAAGUAUCUCGGUAUGUAAAGCUCUAUCAGCAGGGAAGAAAAUGACGGUACCUGACUAAGAAGCCCCGGCUAACUACGUGCCAGCAGCGGCGGUAAUACGUAGGGGGCAAGCGUUAUCCGGAUUUACUGGGUGUAAAGGGAGCGCAGGCGGCGCGGUAAGUCUGAUGUGAAAGUC